rnacentral:rRNA from 1 species
CCUACGGGGGGCUGCAGUGGGGAAUAUUGGACAAUGGGGGGAACCCUGAUCCAGCCAUGCCGCGUGUGUGAAGAAGGCCCUCGGGUUGUAAAGCACUUUCAGUGAGGAAGAACGCCUGGUGGUUAAUACCCAUCAGGAAAGACAUCACUCACAGAAGAAGCACCGGCUAACUCCGUGCCAGCAGCCGCGGUAAUACGGAGGGUGCGAGCGUUAAUCGGAAUUACUGGGCGUAAAGCGCGCGUAGGUGGCUUGAUAAGCCGGUUGUGAAAGCCCCGGGCUCAACCUGGGAACGGCAUCCGGAACUGUCAAGCUAGAGUGCAGGAGAGGAAGGUAGAAUUCCCGGUGUAGCGGUGAAAUGCGUAGAGAUCGGGAGGAAUACCAGUAGCGAAGGCGGCCUUCUGGACUGACACUGACACUGAGGUGCGAAAGCGUGGGUAGCAAACAGGAUUAGAUACCCCGGUAGUC